rnacentral:rRNA from 1 species
GACGAACGCUGGCGGCGUGCUUAACACAUGCAAGUCGAACGGAAAGGCCCUGCUUUUGUGGGGUGCUCGAGUGGCGAACGGGUGAGUAACACGUGAGUAACCUGCCCUUGACUUUGGGAUAACUUCAGGAAACUGGGGCUAAUACCGGAUAGGAGCUCCUGCUGCAUGGUGGGGGUUGGAAAGUUUCGGCGGUUGGGGAUGGACUCGCGGCUUAUCAGCUUGUUGGUGGGGUAGUGGCUUACCAAGGCUUUGACGGGUAGCCGGCCUGAGAGGGUGACCGGCCACAUUGGGACUGAGAUACGGCCCAGACUCCUACGGGAGGCAGCAGUGGGGAAUAUUGCACAAUGGGCGGAAGCCUGAUGCAGCAACGCCGCGUGCAGGAUGACGGCCUUCGGGUUGUAAACCGCUUUCGCCUGUGACGAAGCGUGAGUGACGGUAAUGGGGAAAGAAGCACCGGCUAACUACGU